rnacentral:lncRNA from 1 species
AAUGGAGAGUCCGAUGGCCGACCACAGCGAGUAGCGUCCUCCCACCCACUAGGAGAGACAGGACAAGGUGCUGAGGGAGGGCCGGCACACCCCGCCCCCCACCUCCUGCCGGAAACCCUGUCCCUGGUCUUGCACAGGGGCGUCUCGGAGGGCCCUGGCCCAACCCACCUCCAGGAAGCAAGGCAGCAGGCAGGUGCUGGCAACACAUGGGAAGACCAACAGGGCAGACUACAGAUGACUGACCACAGCCACAAGACAAACUGAAGAGCUUACCGUGGUCUUCCCUGAGAUGUCGGGCCCUGUCUCUGCAGACACCAGCAGACCCAGGACCUCAUACCUGUGCCAGGGCCCACCUCCUCAGACACGGACACACCCAGGGCCUCAUACCUGCGCCAGGGCCCACCUCCUCAGACACGGACAGACCCCAGGCCUCAUACCUGUGCCAGGGCCCACCUCCUCAGACACGGACACACCCAGAUCCUCAUACUCAUACCAGAUCCUACCUCCUCAGAUAUGGACAGACCCAGGGUCUCACACCCAUGCCCAGCCUCACCUCCCCAGACACUGGCAGACCCAAGGCCUCAUACCUGCACACAGCUUCAACUCUUUAGACAUGGUCAGACCCAGAUGCUCAUGCCUGUGCCAGAUCCUACCUCCUCAGACACUGACAGACUCAGGUCUUCAUACCUGUAUCAGAUGCUACCUCCUCAGACAUUAACAGACCCAGAUCCUCACACCUGUACCAGAUCCUACCUUCUCAGACAUUGAAAGACCCAGAUCCUUAUACCUGCACCAGAUCCUACCUCCUCAGACAUGAACAGAACCAAAUCCUCAUACUCAUGCCAGAUCCUACCUGCUCAGACAUGGACAGACCCGGAUUCUCAUACCAGGGCCAGAUCCUACCUCCUCAGACUUUGACAGACGCAGAUCCUCAUACCUGUACCAGAUUCCUACCUCCUCUGAUAUUGACAGACCCAGAUCCUCAUUCCUGUACCAGAUGGUAACUCCUCAGACAUGGACAGUCCUAGAUCCUCAUACCAGGGCCAGAUCUUACCUCCUUAGACAUGGACAGACCCAGAUCCUCAUACCAGGACCCGAUCCCACCUCCUCAGAUACUGAUGGACACAGAUCCUCAUACUUGUACCCAGCCUCACUUCCCCAGACACUAGAAGACUCAGGGCUUCAUACCUGUGCCAGAUGCUAUCUCCUCAGGCACUGGAAGCCCAAGGGCCUCAAACCUGAGUCCAAACUCACCUCCUCAAACACUGGAAGACGCAGAUCCUCAUAUCUGUGCCAGGUGCUACCUCCUCAGACAUGGAAGACCCAUAUCCUCAUACCUGUGCCAGGUGCUACCUACUCAGACACGGGAAGACCCAGAUCCUCAUACCUGUGCCAGGUGCUACCUCCUCAGACACAGGAAGACCCAGAUCCUCAUACCUGUGCCAGGUGCUACCUCCUCAG